UUCCGCAAUGGACGAAAGUCUGACGGAGCAACGCCGCGUGAGUGAUGACGGCCUUCGGGUUGUAAAGCUCUGUUAAUCGGGACGAAAGGCCUUCUUGCGAAUAGUUAGAAGGAUUGACGGUACCGGAAUAGAAAGCCACGGCUAACUACGUGCCAGCAGCCGCGGUAAUACGUAGGUGGCAAGCGUUGUCCGGAAUUAUUGGGCGUAAAGCGCGCGCAGGCGGAUAGGUCAGUCUGUCUUAAAAGUUCGGGGCUUAACCCCGUGAUGGGAUGGAAACUGCCAAUCUAGAGUAUCGGAGAGGAAAGUGGAAUUCCUAGUGUAGCGGUGAAAUGCGUAGAUAUUAGGAAGAACACCAGUGGCGAAGGCGACUUUCUGGACGAAAACUGACCGCUGAGGCGCGAAAGCCAGGGGGAGCGAACGGGAUUAGAUACCCCGGUAGUCCUGGCCGUAAACGAUGGGUACUAGGUGUAGGAGGUAUCGACCCCUUCUGUGCCGGAGUUAACGCAAUAAGUACCCCGCCUGGGGAGUACGACCGCAAGGUUGAAACUCAAAGGAAUUGACGGGGGCCCGCACAAGCGGUGGAGUAUGUGGUUUAAUUCGA
rnacentral:rRNA from 1 species